UGGGGAAUAUUGGACAAUGGGCGCAAGCCUGAUCCAGCCAUGCCGCGUGUGUGAAGAAGGCCUUAUGGUUGUAAAGCACUUUAAGCGAGGAGGAGGCUACUUUAGUUAAUACCUAGAGAUAGUGGACGUUACUCGCAGAAUAAGCACCGGCUAACUCUGUGCCAGCAGCCGCGGUAAUACAGAGGGUGCGAGCGUUAAUCGGAUUUACUGGGCGUAAAGCGUGCGUAGGCGGCUAAUUAAGUCAAAUGUGAAAUCCCCGAGCUUAACUUGGGAAUUGCAUUCGAUACUGGUUAGCUAGAGUGUGGGAGAGGAUGGUAGAAUUCCAGGUGUAGCGGUGAAAUGCGUAGAGAUCUGGAGGAAUACCGAUGGCGAAGGCAGCCAUCUGGCCUAACACUGACGCUGAGGUGCGAAAGCAUGGGGAGCAAACAGG
rnacentral:rRNA from 1 species